CAAGCAUAGAACAAUUUAAGAAAUAAAGCAGAACAUGCUUUACUGAAGGUAAACAACCAUAGAAUUGUCAAUAAUGCAGAGACAUGAGGAAGAUUGGAAAAUAUUGGUACAGUUAUGUGACACAAACACAGUAUGUACUCAUGGCAAAAUGGUGUUCGAGAGGUGGCGAAUAAGGAUUUGCUUGCAAAAUUGAAGAACGAUAACCUCGUUUCCGCAAAACACCCUACGCUCGGGUCGGAAUGAACCUAUCUUACACUCUCGGCCAUGGAAGAUACUUAUAAUCUGAGGUGGAAGAAAAGGUACCGUAUAAUGUGGAAAUAUCGAAGUUGCAGAGAGCGGACAACUGCAAACUGAGAUUCUGAAAAAGAGGAAUAAAGGCGAUCAUAGGGGAGGUGUAUCUUUACGUCGCCAUGGGAAUAGUGUUUUAAUCAGAUGAUGAUGAAAAAAUGUCAGUGACAACACCACGAAAGCCUUUAAAUGUGACAGUGGCAAUGUCAGGACUGCUCUGCAAGUAUCACAACAUUAGCUACAAGAUCCCCUAACAGUUGCACCAUACAUGUGUAUCUACAGAGGCUGUCGUGAAAUUCCGUCGUUUCUCACGGGAGAGGUACGAGAGACAUAUGCCGCCUGAAUGAGAACAGCAUCGGAAAGUGAUGGUGGAAGGGAAAUCCUUGGAACACCGGGAUGAAAAAACAAAACAAUAUUAUGUUAAAAACCCUUAAUGUUUAGUGCAGGAGCUUUACCUUAAGUAGUGUUCAAUGAAAUAACUAUUAUUUCAAGACUUAUUUUGUUUGUUUAUUUUUACAGUGACAGUCUGUGUGUAUUAUGGCAUGUCUGUGUAUCAUAACUUGUACAUUUUGAUAAAACUGC